rnacentral:rRNA from 1 species
GUGGGGAAUAUUGGGCAAUGGGCGCAAGCCUGACCCAGCAACGCCGCGUGAGGGAAGAAGGCUUUCGGGUUGUAAACCUCUGUCCUUGGUGACGAAAAAAAUGACGGUAGCCAAGGAGGAAGCCCCGGCUAACUACGUGCCAGCAGCCGCGGUAAUACGUAGGGGGCGAGCGUUGUCCGGAAUUACUGGGCGUAAAGGGUGCGUAGGUGGCCUUUUAAGUUGGAUGUGAAAUCCCAGGGCUUAACUUGGGUGGUGCAUCUAAUACUGGAGGGCUAGAGUGCAGGAGAGGGAAGCGGAAUUCCUAGUGUAGCGGUGAAAUGCGUAGAUAUUAGGAGGAACACCAGUGGCGAAGGCGGCUUUCUGGACUGUAACUGACACUGAGGCACGAAAGCGUGGGGAGCAAACAGGAUUAGAUACCCUUGUAGUCC